rnacentral:rRNA from 1 species
CCUACGGGUGGCAGCAGUAGGGAAUUUUUCACAAUGGGCGAAAGCCUGAUGGAGCAAUGCCGCGUGAAUGAUGAAGGUCUUAUAGAUUGUAAGAUUCUUUUAUUUGGGAAGAAAAACUAAAGUAGGAAAUGACUUUAGUCUGACUGUACCAUUUGAAUAAGUCUCGGCUAACUAUGUGCCAGCAGCCGCGGUAAUACAUAGGAUGCCAGGGUUAUCCGGAUUUACGGUGCGUAAAACGAGCGCAGGCGUGUUAACAAGUGUGGUAUGAAAGGCUUUUGCUUAACGAAAGGUUGUAUCAAAAACUGUUAAACUAGAGUGUAGUAGAGAGUACUGGAAUUCCAUGUGGAGCGGUGGAAUGCGUAGAUAUAUGGAAGAACACCAGUGGCGAAGGCGAGAACUUAGGCUAUCACUGACGCUGAGGCUCGAAAGUGUGGGGAGCAAAUAGGAUUAGAUACCCUGGUAGUC